AGUACAAUAGUAGUUGCAGGAAUCUUUCUACUGGUCCGAUUUCACCCACUCACAACUAUCAAUAAUUAUAUUUUAACAACUAUAUUAUGCCUCGGAGCCCUAACCACAUUAUUUACAGAUAUUUGUGCCCUCACCCAAAAUGACAUCAAAAAAAUUGUCGCUUUCUCCACAUCAAGCCAACUAGGCCUGAUAAUAGUAACACUAGGGAUAAACCAACCAUAUUUAGCAUUUCUACAUAUCUGUACCCACGCAUUCUUCAAAGCCAUGCUCUUUAUAUGCUCUGGCUCAAUCAUUCAUAGCCUGGCAGAUGAACAAGAAAUCCGAAAAAUAGGAAACAUCACAAAAACCAUACCAUUCACCUCAUCAUGCCUAGUAAUCGGAAGCUUAGCCCUCACAGGAAUGCCAUUCCUAACAGGAUUCUACUCAAAAGACUUAAUUAUUGAAGCAAUUAAUACCUGCAACACCAACGCCUGAGCCCUACUAAUUACACUAAUCACCACUUCUAUAACAGCUAUAUACAGUAUACGAAUCACUUAUUUCGUAACAAUAACAAAACCACGUUUUCCUCCCCUAAUCUCCAUUAACGAAAAUGACCCAGACCUCAUAAACCCAAUCAAACGCCUAGCAUUCGGAAGCAUCUUUGCAGGAUUUGUCAUCUCAUACAACAUCCCACCAACCAACAUCCCAGUCCUCACAAUACCAUGAUUUUUAAAAACCGCAGCCCUAGUUAUUUCAGUAUUAGGAUUUCUAAUUGCACUAGAACUAAACAACCUGACCAUAAAAUUAUCAAUAAGUAAAACAAACUCAUACUCAUCUUUCUCAACUUUACUAGGCUUUUUUCCAUCUAUUAUUCACCGCAUCAUACCCAUAAAAUCUCUCAACCUAAGCCUAAAAACAUCCCUAACUCUCCUAGACUUAAUUUGACUAGAAAAAAAACCAUUCCAAAAUCUACCUCAACUCUCCACACAAACAUAACCACUCUAACAACCAACCAAAAAGGCUUGAUUAAAUUAUACUUUAUAUCAUUCCUAAUUAACAUUAUCUUAAUUAUUAUCCUA
rnacentral:lncRNA from 1 species